rnacentral:rRNA from 1 species
AGAGUUUGAUCCUGGCUCAGAUUGAACGCUGGCGGCAGGCCUAACACAUGCAAGUCGAACGGUAACAGGAAGAAGCUUGCUUCUUUGCUGACGAGUGGCGGACGGGUGAGUAAUGUCUGGGAAACUGCCUGAUGGAGGGGGAUAACUACUGGAAACGGUAGCUAAUACCGCAUAACGUCGCAAGACCAAAGAGGGGGACCUUCGGGCCUCUUGCCAUCGGAUGUGCCCAGAUGGGAUUAGCUAGUAGGUGGGGUAACGGCUCACCUAGGCGACGAUCCCUAGCUGGUCUGAGAGGAUGACCAGCCACACUGGAACUGAGACACGGUCCAGACUCUUACGGGAGGCAGCAGUGGGGAAUAUUGCACAAUGGGCGCAAGCCUGAUGCAGCCAUGCCGCGUGUAUGAAGAAGGCCUUCGGGUUGUAAAGUACUUUCAGCGGGGAGGAAGGGAGUAAAGUUAAUACCUUUGCUCAUUGACGUUACCCGCAGAAGAAGCACCGGCUAACUCCGUGCCAGCAGCCGCGGUAAUACGGAGGGUGCAAGCGUUAAUCGGAAUUACUGGGCGUAAAGCGCACGCAGGCGGUUUGUUAAGUCAGAUGUGAAAUCCCCGGGCUCAACCUGGGAACUGCAUCUGAUACUGGCAAGCUUGAGUCUCGUAGAGGGGGGUAGAAUUCCAGGUGUAGCGGUGAAAUGCGUAGA